UGAACUAUAUACACUGGAUAUUCAUUACACGAAUCAAAGGUAGAAGAGCUACUUCAGGACAAAAAAUGUAUAUAUUACAACCGGUUCUUCUAUCUAUAUGUAACCAUUCGUCAUUAAGCUCAAUAUACCUUCUUUUUUGCCGAAGUCAAGAUCUAUUGCAGCUCAAUGCAAGCAGCUUCAACACUGAACCUUCAAUGUAGAAAUGCAAUCCCUUGUCUAUAUAGUUGCACAGUCAAGAUUGCAAUAUUGGCAUGUAUCUCAAGAGCAGCAAAAUCAUAUGCUCCUGGGUUCUAGCACUUGCCCAGCUGAUAUAACUCAAGCAAGAAAACAUAUUCAGUAAACUAAAAUGGAAACUUUUUAGAAAGAGCCAUUAAAUAGUUGCUACGAGCUACAAUGCAGUAAUGUCGUCUCCAAGGUCGACGCUCAUUUCUCCCUCAUACGUCUGGACGUGUUUGGACAUCAAACGGGUGCCCAACAGGCUCCCCAAAAUUCAGCUGACUGGACAGUUCGGACUCCCCCAAAUCCAACCCAUAUGUGAGGGGAAAAUGUGAUUGCCCGGAGUAUCUAUCAUGUUAUCCACAACACACGAUCCCAAAAGAGAGAAGAAAAAUAAAUCAUGACACACAUUUCUCUUUUCCUGACGGACCCUCCCCUUCCCUCUCGGUUUCAUGCCGUAGUGAAACAUUUCUUGUUGGAGUCCUCUCCUUUAAACCAGAGACCGCCCACCUCAGCUUCGCCACGGCACCCUCUCGCUUCACAUCGUACUUCCCCAUGGAGUGGCAAGGAGGAGUCUCCCGCCAACCACCCCGCUCUCCGCCCCAAUCCCCUCGCCAUGUUCGUGUCGAUCCGUGGGCUGCCGUUGCAUUGCCAUGGAAUAACAGAAAAUGCACCAAUCACACAAUUGUUCUAAUUUAGAAAUGUGACUCGAACAUGACGACGUGUGGCUACCAUUCAUAUAAUGGCAACAAAUACCAAUUAUCUCUACCUCUUCUUUCGUCCGGUAGUCAUCGUCUCCUUAACCACUCUCAAAGACAAAGCGACAUCUAUCUCCUUGCCACCUGCUACUCCUUCCCCGAGAAAGUACACAUGGUCGAUGAGCGUCCGAUGGUUGAACGCGGUCGAGGCAGCCUCGUUGUCGCUCGCGCUCAUGACCAGUGGCGAGCUUCGCGUCCUCGACAGCACCACCAAAGACGACAAGCCCAUGCACCGCACGGGGCCUAGUCAGGCGUCAUCCUCGACUACAACAGCCUCCAGGUGAACGACAUGGACCACAACAGUGCUUGUCGUGGGGCACGAAGACGAGGUGUUGGUUGAAAUGCCUAGGAAAGAAAGAGGAGGAAGAAGAAGGUAAUAACGGCAAAUAUAACAGUCCGAAUAAACGGAGUUCACUUUGCUGCCGCAUCAGCCCUGACAAGUGGGUCCCACAUGUCAUAACACGUUUAAAACCAGCAAAAUGGUCAUCUAACGCAAGUGGUAGUUUUUAGGCAAAAAAUUAGCAUAAUCUGGUUUUUUUGACGUUUUUUAAACCGGUAGUUCUGUGGGACCGAUGAAACCUGUAGUGUGAUAGUUUUAUGAUAAAUACUCUCCACUAUUGGGGCAUAUCAUAAGCAACCUACAUGUGACAUGUGGCAAUGCAACAAAGCGUAGCUUUUCAAAGAAAGAUAACUGUAGCUUGCUCGGCAACUAAGACAGAAAAGCUUACUUUCCUACCUAGCUUUGACGGAAACUCUGGCCAGGCUCCACAGGGCGCCAGAAGGGAUGGAACGGCUAUCUGUUACCUUGGCUCACCGAGAAUCAUACCAGCAGAUCACUGCCGCCUUACACACAGACCGUAUCUACCAGUUAGCACUGCGUCCACACUCCUCUCUGCUCUCCCUUUCUCUCCCCUCAUGAGCGCAAGGGACAAAGAAUGACACUGGAAUCAAAUAAUAAAUUAGGAUUAACAACAACCCAUCAGGUCGAGGACAAAGAAUAUUCUGAAGAAAGAUGGCACGAUACAAUAAUUUUGAUAGCAAAAUUCCAUGUCUUUUUUUUAUCACAAAAUUGUUUUUCUUUUACAAAUGCAACAAAAUGAUCCUUGAUAGAAUACAUGGAUAUAAUUAAAAGGGACAACAAUACAAAAUAAGGAUUAGAUAAGCUUCUAAACUAACCUUUUAGCAUUUAGUCUAAACAUGGAUUAAAUAAUUUCAGUAAUCAUUUAUUUAUUAGAAAUGUAACCUGAUGUGUGGCUCACAUCUGCAAAACAAUUGUUCAGUGGGCUUGGGGCUUGAAUCUAAGAAAAACUUAUAUGAAAUUUUAGAGAAGAUCAAUGCCAAGUUGGACCCGUCACAUUGAGCUUCAUCCCAGCUACAUUUUAUUUUCGACCAAUAAUAAGCUGCAAUUCUCUUGUUCUGCUAUGAUAAGUAACGGAAUCUGUUCUUAACUACAACCAGUAGAGGAAUAUCAUCAGACAUGUGGU
rnacentral:lncRNA from 1 species